rnacentral:rRNA from 1 species
AUGAACGCUAGCGGCAGGCCUAAUACAUGCAAGUCGAACGGUAACAGGCGUAGCAAUACGUGCUGACGAGUGGCGCACGGGUGCGUAACACGUAUGCAACCUUCCUUCAACUGGAGGAUAGCCCGAAGAAAUUCGGAUUAAUACUCCAUAAUUUAACGAAACGGCAUCGUUUCGUUAUUAAACUUACGGGGGUUAUGAAGAUGGGCAUGCGUUGCAAUUAGCUAGUUGGCGGGGUAACAGGCCCACCAAGGCUACGAUGCAUAGGGGUUCUGAGAGGAUUAACCCCCACACCUGGUACUGAGACACGGACCAGACUCCUACGGGAGGGCAGCAGUAAGGAAUAUUGGACAAUGGUGGCAACACUGAUCCAGCCAUGCCAGCGUGAAGGAUGAAGGCCCUAUGGGUUGUAAACUUCUUUUGAACGGGAGAAAACCCUCGUACGUGUACGAGGCUGAUAGUACCGUUAGAAUAAGGAUCGGCUAACUCCGUGCCAGCAGCCGCGGUAAUACGGAGGAUCCUAGCGUUAUCCGGAUUCAUUGGGUUUAAAGGGUGCGUAGGCGGAUUGGUAAGUCAGCGGUGAAAUCCCACGGCUCAACUGUGGAACUGCCGUUGAUACUGCCAAUCUUGAGUGCAGAUGAUGUGGGCGGAAUAUGACAUGUAGUGGUGAAAUACUUAGAUAUGUCAUAGAACACCGAUUGCGAAGGCAGCUCACAAAACUGUAACUGACGCUGAGGCACGAAAGCGUGGGGAUCAAACAGGAUUAGAUACCCUGGUAGUCCACGCCCUAAACGAUGAUUACUCGAUGUUGGCGAUACACCGUCCAGCGUCCAAGCGAAAGCGUUAAGUAAUCCACCUGGGGAGUACGGCCGCAAGGCUGAAACUCAAAGGAAUUGACGGGGGCCCGCACAAGCGGAGGAGCAUGUGGUUUAAUUCGAUGGUACGCGAGGAACCUUACCUGGGGCUUGAAAGUUAGUGACGUUCCGUGAAAGCGGAAUUCCCGCAAGGGCACGAAACUAGGUGCUGCAUGGCUGUCGUCAGCUCGUGCCGUGAGGUGUUGGGUUAAGUCCCGCAACGAGCGCAACCCCUACCAUUAGUUGCCAACGGGUUCGGCCGGGGACUCUAAUGGAACUGCCCGCGCAAGCGGUGAGGAAGGUGGGGAUGACGUCAAGUCAUCACGGCCCUUACGGUCCAGGGCUACACACGUGCUACAAUGGCGAGUACAAAGGGCAGCUACCUGGCAACAGGAUGCUAUCUCUAAAACUUGUCUCAGUUCGGAUUGAGGUCUGCAACUCGACCUCAUGAAGCUGGAUUCGCUAGUAAUCGGAUAUCAGCAAUGAUCCGGUGAAUACGUUCCCGGGCCUUGUACACACCGCCCGUCAAGCCAUGGGAGUCGGGGGUAUCUAAAGUCGAUAACCGCAAGGAGUCGCCUAGGAUAAAACCGAUGACUGGGGGC